UGACUUGUUAUUCCAGCGUCUUUAAAGUCUUAACCAUCGACUUCGAAAUCGUUUCAUCUAGGGUUCCAUGCCGUCCCCCAACACCCUCAGACGGAGACAACUAAUUGGCCCAAACUACCAUGGCCGACGAAGAUUGCCAAUUCGGUGAACGUGAUUGUUUCCGUCGCAAUGCCGGUUCAGGUGUCUCCCGAUAGAAAAAACUGCGCUGCUACUGUAACCAUACCGGAGAAAGCGUUGGAUCUUCCUUUUUCUCUGGUAGAGUCAUGGCUCUAUCUCUGAGUCAACAGCAGGUACCCUUCAAUGGUGUCUUGUCUGCCGCUUGGAUCCAAGAUAACUUCCAAUUGAAGAUUGCUUGAAAUUUAUCGUUGUUUCCUGCCACAAUAAUUGGCUGCAUAUAUGAAUAUUUUUCUCUUUCUUCAUCUUUCUUAUUGUUCUAAUAUUCAGGUUUUUUGUUUGAUUUUAUUUUUUUUUAAAGAUCAAAGAUUUUCCACCCCAUUAUGCUAGUAUUGUUCUAUGAUUCAAGACUAGGGUUAUACGCUGUUUGUUAUGCUUAACGAUUUAGCAGCGAAUUUCCUUUAUUUCCCCCUUUUGGCCAUUCGAUGUAAUUUCAUGAUUUUUUUAUGCUUUCUAAAUCCAUAUUAUAUUAUGGUCCAAUUUCUCUCAACCUGAACUGCAGAGAUUUGCUUCUGCCUUUAUCAGUGGGAUCUAGCACAAGCCUUAAGAUAUCCAUCUGAUAUGAAAAAUCCACCCAUUUGCAAUGUUGAGGAUGUGUGGUUAUGAUAGUCUACCAUAAAACGUGUAGUUACAAAGAGUUAUUUGGGACCAAAGCACAGCAUUAGUGGGUUAGUUGGUUGGCUCUAGUUCAGACACAGGUGCUUUGUUGAUCAAUAACAAGCCACCUUUUGCAUAGUGCCUAGACAGAAGCCUGCUUAUCACGAUUGAAGUUAUUCUUGCCCGAUGGUUUCCUUCAAAUUUAAAGCAGCAACAUUUCUUAUUAUCUUUCUUAUGGCCUAUUUUUUGGCUAUUGCCUGUCUUCCUUUGUUUCCUGAUACAAUGUAUGCCUGAAGCUAGUGUUUUGGAACGUUACAUGUUGAUGGGAAUGGAUCCACCUUUUUAGUAUGCUCGAUGUUCUAGCUGGUAUCCAUCUAAUGCAUGUUAUUAGAAGUAGUACUCAAUCUGUUAGAUGGGUCUGCCCCCUAAGAUUUGUAAAAUUUCUCUGAUCUAAAAAUUGUGCUCUCUCUGGUUGGGUUAAACUUGCCAGAAGUAUCUCUUUAGAAAUUAGUCGCUAUUUUAUUUUGUAGAUAAAUGAGUUUCUUUUUGCAAUUGUUUCUGGACUUUGAGAAGAUCUUAAUGAGUCUUGUAACGUGAUGGCUCUAUCUCUGAGCCAACAGCAGAUUUUCCUCUUUCUUCCUCUUUCUUAUUUUUCUAAACCUCAGAUUGUUUUGUUUGAUUUUGUUUCUUUAAAGAUUAAAGAUUUCCACCCCACUAUGCUAAUAUUGUUUUAUGAUUUGAGACUAGGGUUAUAGGUUGUUUGGUAUGCUUAAUCAUUUAGCAGCACUUCCCUUCAUUUCCCUUUUAUGGCCAUCCUAUGUAAUUUCAUGAUUUUUCUACACUUUCUUAAUCUAUAUUAUGGUCACAUUUCUCUCGACCUGAACUGAAGUUUUGCUUCUGCUAUUAACAGUGGGAUCUAGCCCAAACCUUGAGAGUAUCCAUCUGAUGAUGAUUCCACCCAUUUGCAAUGUUGUGGAUGUGUGGUUAUUUAUGAUGGUAUACUAUAAAACGUGUAGUUGCAAAGAGUUAUUUGGGACCAAACCACAGCAUUAGUUGGUUGUUUGGUUGGCUCUAGUUCAGACACGGGUGCUUUGUUGAUUAAUAACAAGCCACCUUUUGCAUAGUGCCUAGACAGAAGCCUGCUUUACAUAUUGGGGGUUAUUCCUGCUUGGUGACUUCCUUCAAAUUUUAAAGCAGCAAAAUUUAUAGUUAUCUUUGUAUGGGCUUUUAGCUUAUUGCUUGUCAUCUUUUAUUUCGUGAUACAAUAUGUUGCUGAAGCUAGUGUUUGGUGACACUACUUUGAUGGUUAUGGAUUCACCAUUUUAGUGUGGCCGAUGUUCUGGAUGGGACCCAUCUAAUGCAUGUUCUUAGAAGUAGAAUCUCUUAGUUCGAUCUGGGCCCCCAUGGGUUAAACUAGCUAAAUCCAAUCCCUGUAGAAAAGGCAACCAAAAAAUUGGAAAUUUUAUAGUUCCUCCUCCAAAAGCAUGAAGUAUAUCCCAGGAAAGUGGUUUGCGCAUUUUAUUUUGUAGAUAAAUAAAUUUCUUUGGUGCAAUUGAUUUUGAAUUUUGAGAACUUACUGGGUCUUGUGAUUGAGGAGGCAUGGCUCUAUUUCUGAGUCAACAGCAGGUGCCAUUUUGAUGGUAUCCCGUCUGCCGCUUGGAGCCGAGAUUGACAUGCCAGUGGAAGAUUGCUUGAAACUCAUAGUUGUUUCCUGCCACAAUAACUGGCUAUAUAUGUAGACAAAUAAAUUUCUUUUGUGCAAUUGAUUUUGGAUUUUGAGAACUCACUGAGUCUUGUGAGUCAUGUCAUGGCUCUAUUUCUGAGUCAACAGCAGGUGCCAUUUGAUAGUUAUAUCCUGUCUGCCGCUUGGAACCGAGAUUGACAUGCCUGUGGAAGAUUGCUUGAAACUCAUAGUUGUUUCCUGCCACAGUAACUGGCUAUAUAUGUAGAUAAAUAAAUUUCUUUUGUGCAAUUGAUUUUGGAUUUUGAGAACUUUACUGGGGUCUUGAGAUGAGUCAAUGUCAUGGCUCUCUAUUUCUGAGUCAACAGCAGGUGUCAUUUGAUGGUUAUCCUGUCUGCCGCUUGGAGCCGAGAGUGACUUGCCAGUGGAAGAUUGCUUGAAACUCAUAGUUGUUUCCUGCCACAAUAAUUGGCUAUAUAUGUAUAUUUUCUUCUUUCUUUCUUUUUGAUUUUCUAACUCGGGCAGAUCUUUUUGUUUGUCUUAAUUUUUUUGAAACAUCAAAGCUUUUGCACUCCAUUACGCUAAUAUUGAUCUAUGAUUUGUGACUGCGUUCCCUUCA